rfam:Verruconis gallopava strain CBS 43764 unplaced genomic scaffold supercont1.28, whole genome shotgun sequence.
GCUCUGCUAGCGCAAUGGUAGCGCGUCAGACUUCUAUCCCACCCCCCGGAAUAUAAUCUGAAGGCUCCGGGUUCGAGUCCCGGGUGGAGCU